rnacentral:rRNA from 1 species
CCGAAUGGCGAAUUAAUACCGCUAUAUGGCCAGGGAAGACAUCUUCCCGAAGCCAAAGUCGCAAGACGCUUCCUGAUGAGCUCGCGGCCUAUCAGCUAGUUGGUGAGGUAACGGCUCACCAAGGCUAUGACGGGUAGCUGGUCUGAGAGGACGACCAGCCACACUGGAACUGAGACACGGUCCAGACACCUACGGGUGGCAGCAGUCGAGAAUUUUUCACAAUGGGGGAAACCCUGAUGGAGCGACGCCGCGUGGAGGAUGAAGGUUUUCGGAUUGUAAACUCCUGUCAAAUGGGAACAAGAAAGUGAUAGUACCAUUAGAGGAAGAGACGGCUAACUCUGUGCCAGCAGCCGCGGUAAUACAGAGGUCUCAAGCGUUGUUCGGAUUCAUUGGGCGUAAAGGGUGCGCAGGCUGUGGGGUAAGUCGGAUGUGAAAUUUAGGGG